UACGGGGGGGGCAAGCGUUGUUCGGAAUUACUGGGCGUAAAGGGCUCGUAGGUGGCCAACUAAGUCAGACGUGAAAUCCCUCGGCUUAACCGGGGAACUGCGUCUGAUACUGGAUGGCUUGAGUUUGGGAGAGGGACGCGGAAUUCCAGGUGUAGCGGUGAAAUGCGUAGAUAUCUGGAGGAACACCGGUGGCGAAGGCGGCGUCCUGGACCAAUACUGACGCUGAGGAGCGAAAGCGUGGGGAGCGAACGGG
rnacentral:rRNA from 1 species